CUUAUUCCAAGCCUAGCCAAUUUUUACAAAUUACAAUAACAGUCCAUGUAUUUCACAAAAAUCAAAAUUUUUUCAUAAAUUUUACAUCUUUUCAAUUUAGUCCAUAAAUCAUAAUUCAUCAAAAUUUCAUUUACAAAAGCUGUUUAUUUAUCAACAACAUUUCAUUUUCAACCAUAAACUUCAUAAUUCAUGCAUACUCAUGAAUGGAAAAACCUUAGUACUUUGAUAACUUUACAAAUUAAUCCCCGAAUAGCUGGAUUAAGCUAUUACGAUCUCAGAAACAUAAAAAUUAUUGAAAACGGGACAAGAAUACAUACCUAAUUAAGCCAAAAUAGCUUGCUUGAGCUCAACAACCAUAACUAGGGUUUCCAUCACUUUAAUUUGGGAAAGAUGAUAUAAAAUGAUGAUAUUUUCUUAUUUAAUUAAAAUAUCAUUUUUUAUUAUUUCAUCUUUCCAAUUUAGUUCUUUUCUUUAUUUAAUUUCCCAUGGAUGAAUCAUCAUACUUAUCUACUAACUCCUCUUAAUGGUCUAUUUUCCAUAUAAGGACCUCCAAUUUUGAAAUCUAUAGCUAUUUGAUACCUAUAGCUACUAGAACUCAAUUUUUGCAUUUUAUGCAAUUUGGUCCUUUUAUCAAUUAAACAUGUAAUCGGUAAAUUUUUCUUAUCAAAAUUUUUAUACGAUAUUCCUAUCAUACAGUAUACAAUAAAUAAUUUUAAAAUAAAUUUUCUUCCAGACUCGAAUUUGUGGUCCCAAACCACUGUUCCAAUUUCAUUAAAAACGGGCUGUUACAGUUUGGGUUGUUUUUGUGCAGGUAAUGUUAAGUAUAUAUACACAAGUUUUUAACUUGUGUAGUGACAUUGAAAUAGGUAUCAAAUGGCUUAAAUUUUACCAAAACUAGAGUCCAUGUCCCGAUGAGCAAUCUUCCUCAUUGCAACGUUGGCAAAUAGUGAGUCACAUAGCAACGUUGAGUGACCUAAGGUCACGACAUGAAAAUUUAUUUGGCAAUGUCACUACGUGGAGAAAGUGAUGUCAUGAAAUCGACCCUAAACUUUUAAAACUUUUCAAUUUGGUCUUAUUUCAUGCUCGGUCAACAAAAGAGCUUUGUAAGCUCCAUUAAUGCUCAGAUUUAAUUGUGUAGCAUGAUGUGAAUGUGUUUAUGAUAUGAUUGAUUAUUUGAAUGAUUUAUUUACAGUGUAUUUAACGGUACUUGCUCCAACAAUGGAUGUGGCUUCCCCUAGCUUGGACCCGACGAUCAAGUCGGGCAAGGGCUGUUACAUUUAGUAGUAUUAGAGCUACGAUUUAUUUGAUUAUAGAACUAAAACGUAGCGCGUGUUGAGUCUAGAAAUACAUGCCACAAUAACCUAUGAUAGUGUAAUGCCUUCUAAUCCGAAUUAACUUUGUUUUCUUAUAUAGAAAAACCAUGUCGGUCAAAUCAAAUCGUGUCAAAUAAGAUGAAGCUGGUAGAAAUGUUCCUGCUUUCGAUCAGGGAGCUGCUCAUAGUGUACCUGUUCCACAAGGGCCUGAGAGUGAGGCAAGAUACGCCUUCUUCCAAAUAAUGAACCAAUGGUUCACCCAAUUUAUAGGAGCUAUCCCUUCAGCUCUAUAACCCCAAAUACAUCAUAUUUCCCUGAUUUUACCUCCUAUGGCACCCUUUCAUCCUCAAAACCCUAACACGAUAAAUGUUAAUUAACCCUCAAUUCAUAAAAUUCAAAGGCAAAAAGGAUGAUGAUCCAACAAAAGCUAAAUAUUGGCUGGAAAAUACUCUGAAGGUUCUGGACGAAAUGAUAUGUACUUUAGAAAAUAGUUUGAAAUGUGUUGUAUCAUUAUUGAAAGAAUAAGCAUACUAGUGGUGGACGACUCUGAUAUCUAUAGUUUCGAAAGACCGAAUAACUGAGAUUUCUUGAAAACCGAAUUCGAAAAGAAAUAUGUUAUUUGGUUGUAUCUCAAAAAGAAAGAGAUAGAGUUUAUGAAACUGAAAUAAGGUGACAUGUUUGUGGCUGAGUACGAACUAGAAUUCACUCGUCUCAGUAAGUAUGCCAGAGAGAUUAUGCCUACAAAACCUUAAAUAUGUACCCAUUUUAAGUAAGGACUGAACAAAGAUAUGCGUAUGUUGGUGGGAGCCCUAGAAUUAAAAGAAUUUAUUGUUCUGAAUAAACGGGCUCAGAAAAUAAAAGAAAUGUGAAAUGAAAAUAAGCAGGCUAAGUCAAAGAGCUGAGAUACUGGGAAACAUGGCAUGGCUAGAUCUUUUUCGACUCCUCUGUCCAAACAGAUGAGAGAUUUUAGAAGUUAAUCAUUCGCUCCUACAAGAAAUCCAAGAAGAGACAUGUCUAGAUAGAGUUAUAUGAUACUUCAUACUACGCCAGCAGCUAGUAUUAGCAGCGCUCGGAACAUGGAUAAAACCAAUUUUCAAGCAUUGCGAAAAAAAUCAUUUCGAAGAAUGUAGACUAAGAAAAUGAGCCUAUUUAAGCUGUGGUUCUACUGGUCAUUUCCUAAAAGAUUGUCCAAACAAAGUUGAGACUAUUUUAGAUCAAGUUACAAAACAAGUGACAGCUCCACAGAGAGGUGGAAGACCAGGAACUGAUGGUAAUGCUGGAGCCAGCCGAGGUGGAACCAAAUAUACGACAAUGAGGUCACAAGCUCGUGCACCUACCAAAGCUUAUACUAUACGGGCUAGAGAUGAGGCUAUUGCUCUUGAUGUCAUUACUGGUACAUUUUCUCUUUUUGAUAUUACUAUACAUGCUUUGAUUGAUCAUGGAUCAACACAUUCUUACAUAUGCACCGCAUUAGUAACUGAAAGAAAUAUUCUAGUAGAAUUGACAGAAUUUGAUGUUAGAGUAACAAACUCGUUAGGUCUGUGUGUCAUUGUCAAUAAAAUAUGUAAAGAUUGUCCACUAAAAAUCCGGGGCCGUGAUUUUCUUAUUAAUUUUAUGUUGUUGUUAUUUAAUGAGUUUGAUAUUAUUCUCAAUAUGGAUUGGCUAACUCAGCAUGAUGUUGUAGUCAACUGUAGACAAAAAAAAUAUUAUUGAGAUACUAGGAUAAUUGAUAAAUGUUGAGGCAAACAGAUCUGAUUGUUCUACCAAUAUUAUAUCAGCAAUAUCUGCUCGAGAACUGAUUAGAAAAUAUUGUAAAACGUAUCUAGCCUACAUUUUAAAUACCAGAGUACCAAGACCAAAGAUAGAACAAGAUUCGAUAAUUAAAGAAUUCAUUGAUAUGUUUCUUGAAGAAUUACCAGAUUUAACGCCUGAGAGAGAAGUUGAAUUUAUUAUUGAAGUAGCAUCAUGAACUACUAUGAUCUCUAUAACACCAUAUAGAAUUACUCCAACGGGAUUAAAAGUAUUGAAGGCUUAGUUGCAGGAAUUGUUGGACCAGAGAUUCAUUUGACCGAGUGUGUCACCUUGGAGUGAUCUGGUUAUUAAUAUAAUUAUGAACAUGGGCCUUCAAAUCCCCCUCUUCAAUGUUGAGCAUUCCACUCUUACUUGCUAUAAUUGUUAAGGUUUGGUGCACACCUCCAAACAUUGUUCAAACCUUAAAUACAACUAUACAACAACUACACCAAUUACAACUCCAAAAUUGACAAACCAUUAUACCGCAUCUCCCACUCCACCAACCAAACCAUGGGCCAUUAACACUGGAGCAACAAAUCACUUGAAUUUUGAACUAGAAAAUUUAGGCAUUCACUCUGAAUAUUCAAACACUAACAAAGUGGAAUUCACCAAUGGUAAAAGCUUACCCAUUGCUCACAUUGGUUCCAUUAAUAUUUCUUUCAAUUCUUGAAUUCUUUUGUUAAAUAAUAUGUUUUAUGUUGCAAAUCCAACACAAUUUUGUUUUCUAUUCACUAAUUCAUCAGUUCUAAUGACGUCGCUAUUAGAUUUUUCUCUUUUUUUUCUUUUUUUGUAAUUAAAGACCACAAAACAAUGCAACUACUCCAUCAUGGAUACAUUAAAGAUUUAUCAUUACAUUGAUUUCCAUGUUGUGGUACAUUAAAGUCAGUAACAAAAAUUUUGAAACAUAAGAGGUGUAACACCCGAAACCUGCCCUAGAAGUUUAAACCGAAUCCCGGAGGUCACAUUGAUCACCGAAGUGAUCGUAGAAAAAAAUUAUAAAACAUAUUGUCUCAAUUCCACUACGAAAUUUUAAAGUUUAACAAACCGAAAAUAAUUAAACGUUGGCUUCCAAUCAAAAAUGUUAUAGUUAAGUUUAAUAAAUAACCAAAAUAAAUUGUGCGAUUAAAAAAUUUCCAAACAGAUCUUGUACCAUAGUUUUUAUACAACCCUACAAAUCUAAACGGUAAAACAAAAUGAAAACUAAAAAGAUAACUGAUAAAUUAGCUUCCACCGAGACUGUCCGAGACCUCCGCGUACUGAGUCCAACAGCAGAAAAUGGAAGUGUACCUGCAAGGGGAACAUUAAAGGGGGUGAGCUACAUGAGCUCAGUGUGAGUUCAAAAUUAUUAAAAAUAGAUUUCAAAAGAAAACAUCAAAUAGCAGUUCAAAACAAAACAUACUUACAGAUGUAAGCAGAAACAGAUACCAAACACGGAACCAAAGCCCCAAGAAGCAAUUAGAACAAAGCACACCAAGUACACACAAAACACUUAACACGUGUUGUUCAGAGAACAGAAAAAAGUUAGAUAAUCUUACACCCAAACAAAUUCACAUGAAUGCAGUCAAGUACCAAAAGCCACCCAUCCAACCAUUACACCUCUCCGUCCCCCAAUCACACCCCAAAAGAGCUAAUAAAGCUCAUCCAACCAAUCACACCAACUAAGGCCUCGAAAGGCCCAUCCAACCCUACACUCUAAGAAUGUGGACUAAGCUGCUCAGAAUAUAAUACACAGCAGGGCUAGCAUAUAUGCAAUACAGUGCAACGCGGUAGUCCGUUGUAUAGUCACAUUGCAGUUAAAUCUGCCAAAUCAAAUAAUGGUACGCAGCAAGCUGACGUACCUACGGUAUAGUCGGUAAACGACUGUACACAAAAAUUACAGUAGAACUGUCAAAUCAUAUCAGAAUCAGUCUCCUUUCUCUUAACAACCAACCCCAAAAAUUUUACUUUAUGCAAGUGUAUGUAUGCAUUCAAUCCCACAGAAACAAUGAUCAUGUCAACAGCAAUCAGACAAAUUCAGAUAUGCACACACACCCAACAAACUAGGUCCAGAAUUAGACAUCACCCACAAUAGCCACAAUUAACCCAUAAGCCGAAGCCCAGAUCAGAAUCCUAGCAACCCUCACUAAAAACUAGCUAAGGGUCGGAACACAUAGAAUCUUAAUUAAAAAAACAUACACUAAUACCAAAAUUAGUGACUUAGAGCCAUACGGCUUUGUGGAAAAACCUAGGGGACUUGGUUAUUUUGUUAUGUGUCAUAAUUAAUUUGGCCUAAAAUAUUGACCUAUAUUAUUUGAUAGUUCAUUUUGUAUAAGGCCAUUGAUGUUGGCUAUUAUUGGUUAAUUUGUAUGUUUAUGAUAGUGCCAUUUGUGUGUUGAUAAAUUUGGUAUAAGUGUGUAAAUGUUUUGGAUAGAAAAAAGCUUAUUAAAUAACCUAACUUUCAUCCACACAGCUGGCCACACGGCCAUGUGCUCAAGGCAUGUGCCCUUAUUUUUUAAGGAAUUUUUCAAAGUUUUCAAAAGUUUUUGGUUUGGUCCCGAACCACUUUCAAAUUAUGUAUUGGGCCUCGUGGGCCCGUAUAAAGAACGAUAUACAUAUGAUUGGAUGAAUAUGAUUUGGACCAAAUUUUAUGACUCGGUUUUGUAUGAUUGGUUAUGUUUAAGUCCAAUAAUGCCUCGUACUCUGUCUCGGAGUCAGACACCGGUAAAGGGUGCUACAUUUAGUGGUAUCAGAGCUAUGAUUUAGUCGAUUCUCGGACUAACAUAACGUAUGUGAGUCUAGCUAUACAUGCCAUAUUACUACUCGUGAUAGUGUGAUAUCUCUCGACUCUGACGAAAUUAUAUUGUUAAGACAGAGAUGACUUCCAACCGGGCUAUUUUUUGAUAAUGCUGAUAAUGAUAUUGAAAUGAUUGAAAUGUGCUUAUGAUGUGUCGAAAUUUGGAAAGGUAUGAAUAGAAGUUCAUGAUAUGCAUGUACUAAUAUACGAAAUGAGAUAACCACAAGUUGAGAAAUGUGAAAAGUGGAAUGAAAUGAAAGUUUAUAUGGUGAUAAGCCCAUCCAUGUUUGUUUGGCAUGCAUAUGAUGUUAUGUGCCCAACAUAUUUGACUAAGUGAAUACGAUAAGUAAAUUUACUCAAAUUGACGGAAUGUGUGUUUAUGUACACUUUUUUGAAUAAGAUAAUCGAAAAAGUUCGUGUAACAUGACUAUGUAUGUUAAGUUGCUUGAAGAGAAUUAUGUAAUUGUGAUGAUAUGAUGUUAGUGGUGAAUGCUAAGUCAUAUGUGUGUACUUAUGAGAGUCAAAUUAGAGGCUUUACGACCUCACCCCCUUACCAGUGUUGCUUUUAUAAUGAAAAUUCAUAAGAAUUAUGUUGAAUAAGUUCACAAGUGUGAAACCAAAUAGUACAGUGGUGAAAUAAUUAGUAAUACAUACAGAGAUAAGAAUAGUUUGGAAAGUGGAAACAAUUUUGGAAGGAUAUCAGAUUGUUCUAAAGAUUAUUCAGAUUAAGCAAUGUCACAAUUAAAGAAAAAGUUAAUCUCGGCUAAUCGACUUAUUCAGCUAUGAUGCCUAGACUAUGUGUUUGCUGAAAAUUUCCCCGAAUUGGUUUUUGCUAGUGAAUGGAAUGAUGCGAGGUUCAUGAUGACCAAAUUAGUCAGAGAAAUGAUAAUUGAGUACUAAAGAUAUUUUUGUGUGACAGUUACAGUUGAAAUGAAUAUGAUGGUUUUUUUUUGGGUAUUCUAUAUAUUUUUUUAUCCUUAGAGAUAUGUGUGUGAUUGUUUAUUUUCUGGUGAAAUUCUUAUCGUGUGAAAAUGUUAGCUGACUAUAAUGUUAGACGAAAGUUUUGUUGGUCUAGUUGGUUCAUGAUUGGCAUUUUUUUAUCUAUUCGGAAUUCUAUUCUGAUAUGUUAGAAUGAAGUUGAUGGUAAAAAUUUAUGUGAGACUAAUCUUAUGUUUCUACUGAUUAUGGUUUUGUUUUAUAUAUAUGGAAAAUAUAUUAUUUCUAUUAUGAUGGAAGUCCAGAGUCGGUAAGCAGUAUUUUUCUUCUAGCUUUCUCUGGGAAUUAUCAAGAUCUUUAUUAUCUUCUUGUGAGUUAUAUUCUUGGACUUCUGCUAUGGUAUCGUAUCUUGGAUUUCCUUAUCUUGGUUUUUCUAUCAUUCUUAUUUCGUGAAUUAUCAACCAUGGCUUAUCUUUAAAGUGUGUUCUUUAGCUUGUAAUAAUUAUGUCUAUUAUGAUUAUGCUUCUAUGUAACACCCCAAACCCGGCCCAGACGUUACGGCCGAAUCCGGUGUGUCACAUUGAAGCGUUACUGUAUAGGUCAUGUCUUAACUAAAAUCUUUCUUAGUGAUUUAAAGGGUAUUUUCGUUAUAGAUUAAAGUGAAUGGAAGCUGUGCACCAGGUAGGAUGCCGAAAAAAGAGGAGGUGAGUCUAUUAGACUGCUUAAGUACCAAUGUGACAGCCCAAAAUUGACCCUAGUCGGGAAGUGGUUUCGGGACCACAAAACCGAGUCAUAAAAAUAAUUAAUUUCCAUAUUCUAUGCUUAUUAUGUGUGUACAUGAGUAUGUGGAAGUUUCAUUCUCCAAUUUUGCCAAUUGCAUGAGAAAUUAUUAAAUAGGGAUCGAUAUGAGACAUGGUGAAAAUAUGAUAGGCUAAUUUAAAAUGGUCUAUUAAUGCAUGUUAUGAAAAUGAUGGGUUUGCAUCUCAAAUUACCCAAAAUUUGAGCUAGUGGUUGGCCAUGCUAUGGGUGGAAACAUGUUGGGAACAUGUUGGCUUAGUGAGGUAUGUUAGGAAAAAAUAAAAUAAGGAGUAUGGGUAAUAAAGAAAUGAAAACAAAAAAAAAUGUGUGGUUGUUUCCCCCCCCCCCCAUUGCCGUGAGCUAAAGAAAGGAAAAGAAAAAUUUUGUUCAUCCUUUUUCAUCCUCUUUUGACCGAAAAUUCUAAGGGAGGAGGAAGGAGUUCUUGCUUCAUGUUUGGUUUGGAAGAGAAUUAGGAGGAAGUUUGGCCAUGCAUGUAACUAGAUUGAGGUAUGUUUGAUAUUAUUCUUUGAGAUUCAUGUAUAUUUUAAGUUGUAAGUUUGAAAUCUACCUAGCCAUGGUUCAAACUUUGUUAAAUGAUGGAGAUGAUAUUCGGCCAUGAAUGUUACAUUCUUGGUUGGUAUUUUGAUGUCUUUGGUGAUGAGGUAUGGAGAUGGUUGACUUUGAGUUGUUAUUAAGGAGGUGCCGAAUGUGGUCCUUGAAGGGCCUUGAGGAACAAUAUAUGUGGUUUGGGUUACAACAUUCGGCCAUGGUAGUUUGAGGAUUAAGGAUUUUAUUUCUUGUUAAAAUUGGAUGAAUCUUAGUGUGUGAGUGUUUGAACUAACUAAGGAUCAAAUAGAUGCAUGGGUACAAAGUAGGAAGAAUCGGCUACUAUGGUUGAUACUAAUGCCGAAUGUGAAAAUGUUAUAUUAAAUAAUGUAUGUGAUUUGUGUUAAUAAUAUGAAAAAAAAUAUAUAUAUAUUUAGAUGUAUUAUAAGUGAUUAAGUAUUAAAUCAAAAGUUGCUAAAAUUGCCAUUUCUUUAGCCGAAUAUGUGUUUGAUCAAUGAAGAAUUUGUUGGAAAAUAUAGGUGAACUUGGUAAGAGUACUCGGCUUAGUGUAUAAAUGAUAUAAAGAUUUUAGAAAUUAUUUUUGGUUAGGUGUAUGUAUGAUUAGGUAUAUUCGGCCAUAUGAGUAAAUAUAUAGAUGAUGUUAAAUUUGAUUAUGUAUAAUGGGCCAUAUAGGGUACACAUUGUGAUAUUAACUUUGAUUCUCUAUAAUUGAUCAAGUGGGUGAUUAGUAAGGGUGAUUGCCGAAUAUACUAACAUACAUAUGCAUGUGUAAUUGAAUUGUAAAUAUUUAGCAAGGCGGUUAAACUAGUUGAUUUAUUGAUUAAGCUCAAGGAGUUAAAGGAGGAGAAUCGAGCAAAGGCAAAGAAAAGAUCAUCGAGUAGUCGAGUUGGAACCAUCUUACCCAACACAAGUAAGUCAUUAAGCAUAUAUUUUGUAUUAAUUUAAAUGGUCAUAACGUCUAUGUAAUGAUGCUGAAUGGAACGAUAAAUAUAUAUAUACAUGUAUGCAUGGGGUGAUGAAAGUAUUGAAUAAAAAAAGAAAAGAGGUGAGAUGAAUUGAGGUGUUGGUUUAGGCACUAAGUGUGCGGGUGUAAACAUUUAUGAUCAUGAGAUUGGCACUAAGUGUGCGGGUUUAAAUUGUACAGCACUAAGUGUGCGAGUUUAAAGUACAUGGCACUAAGUGUGCGCGGUUGAUUAUUAAGCACUAUGUGUGCGAACCCAAUAUAUAUAUUUUCUAUAAAUUAUUUACAUUAAGGGUGCGACUUUACCGAGUCGAUUUUGGACAGCGGAAAAGGUAAGUGUGCGAACUUGAAAUGCAUGGCACUAAGUGUGUGAGUUUAAAGUGCAUGGCACUAAGUGUGCGUGGUUGAUUACUAAACAUUAUGCGUGCAACCCUAUAUAUAUAUUUUCUAUAAAUUAUUUACAUGAAGGGUGCGACUUUACCGAGUCAAUUUUGGACAGCGGAAAAGGUAAGUACCUUGAGUUCAUGGCUAAUAGGCGCUAUGUUUAUAUUUGGAGUUGAGCUUGGUAAGUUUUGAACCUAUGUGACGAUUAUAGUUGAAGUCAUGUACAUAAGGUUCAUUGUGGAAUAGGUGAAAGUUCGUUUAAUUGUAUGAUUAUAACGAAAAUAAAAUGAUGUAUGAAAGGUCAAUGUAGGACUUGGUAUGAGAUUGAACCAUAGGGUUUAAGGAACUAUGGUAUAGUUCGGUAUGGAUGGAGUACUUAACCUCAUUUCAUUGUUUCCUGUUGUGAUAAUUUUAUUAAUGGAUGGUUGUGGAAUGCUUAUGGCUUACUGAGUUAUAUACUCAUUCGGUGUUUGCUUGUCACCUAUUCUAGGUUUCUUGGACUCGUCUCUUUUUGCGUGAUCGUGCCGUCGUCGAAGUCAUCACACCGGCUAGCAACCUUUGGUAUUUUCUUCUUAGUUGGUCUAGGAGAACAUUUCGGCAUGUAUAGGCUAAUAUGUUUUGUUGAAAUUUGGUAUGUAAACUUUUAGCCAUGCGAAAAUGGCAUAAUGUUCGGUUGAAUUUGGUUCUAAUGUUGGGUCGUAAGUCUUGGUAAUACGAUUUUUAUGCCAUAUGUCAUGGCUGAUUAAUUUUGGUGUUAAGAUUCAUGAUACGGCAAUAGCGUAGUAGGGAGAUGUUUGACAAUGAUUAGCCUUUGGUAUGGCUAGUCAUGAUUAUAAUUUUGUGAUAUGUAUGAUGAAUUACUGGUUAGAUCAAUGAGAAAUCACGAAAUGGACAUAGUUGCUUCAGUAACAGAUGCUGGCAGCAGCAGUGACGUGGGAUUGAAAAAUUACAAAAAUUAGUAGGAAUGUAAUUAAAUAGUGAAUAAAUUAUGUAAUCGAAGCUCGAUGAGUCUAUUUUCAUAUAGAAGUAACGAAACAAUCAUAUGGACAGUAUGUUAAGAGAUAUUCAGGUUCUCGUGAGAUAGGGCCAGAACGGUUUCUGGGUUCCCUGUUCCGACUUUGGAAAUUCAUUAUAAAUUAAAAAGAGAUAAUUAGGAGCCAUUCCAUAUAUGUAUAGAUUCCUCUCUGAGUCUAGUUUCUAUAGAAACAAACGGCAUCAGUAUUGAAGCUCUGUACAGGGAGAUAUCUAGGUCGUAAUGCGCAAAGGUCAGUGUAGUCGACCCCAGUAACAUGGGAGACUUUGACUAAUAAACUGUACUAAUUGGCCCAACCAAAAAUUCUAGAAAAAAAUAUGUAGAUGGGCAUAUGAGUCUAGUUUCAGGGAAAAUUCACGGAACUGGAUUUCAAGUUCCAGAGCUCAAGAUAUGAUUUUUAAAGCGACUAGUACGCAGAUUGGCAGCUUGUCUGGAAAAAUUUUAAUAAGUGGUUUGAAGUCUGUUAACACCUCGUGUUCGACUCCAGCGACGGUCUCGGGUUCGGGGUGUUACAACCAAGCUCUCCACGGAUCCACUCCUAGACAUGCACACAACCAUUGCCACACUUUAACUGAAUGAUUGUUCAGGAAAAACCAUUUCAUUUUAAGCCUUUGAAAACACUUAUUAAUUUUUUAAAACGUUUUCAUUUCGGAAGCUUUGUCUUGUUUCACAAUAUUUUGAAAUCAGGUAAUCCCUUUUAAAAAUGUGCCCUAGAGCUAUUCAAUUUCAAACAUUUAAAUCCAUAUCAUGCCUAAUCUAAUAAUCAUACUAAAGCAAUUAAAAAUAAUUAAAGCGGCCUUAUUACAACUUAAAACCCAAAGCAAUUAAAGUAAAUGAAACUAAUCCAGUCAUAAGAAGAAAAUUGAGCUUGCAAAACAUGUGGCCACUCCGAAUCCCUCUCAGCUCCAAGUCCACUAUGGUUAGGGGUUACCUGCACUGAUAAAAUUAAGGGGGGAGUUUGGAAAACUUAGUGUGUAAAAUAACCCAACCAUAGUCCAGAUCAGUUCAAACCACAGAAACAGAUUAAGUUAGGCCUUAGCCCUAUACAGAAUUCAGAAUGAAGCCCAUAGGCCCAUAACAGAAACAGAACAAAUAUAUCUUGUAUGCAGAAAACUCAACCCAUAUCCAUCCGUAUACACCUCCGUGCCAACCUUACACCAUGUGGGGAGAUUACUCGACGCACCCAUCUGCUACACAUCACAAAAUUUGCAGCAUGACUGCUAGAACAGAUAUUGUGACAGAGCCACCAGAAACAGAUAUUUGUGGCAGAGCCACCAGAAUGCUUCCUCCAUUAAUAUAACCCAUAUCUCAUGCAACAGAUAUACAUGUCAUGGCAUACAACAAACAGAAUCAGAAUAUCAUGCAUUUCAAUCAAAAUUAACCCUAGGGGUAUAAUGGUAAUUUUGCACCUAGGGGUAUAAUGGUAAUUUUUAUACUUAGGGGUAUUUUAGUAAAUUUAACUAUUUUAGGGUUUACACUCAUAUUACAGCCAUUAACACAUUAACAGAAACACUUACCAAGCAUUUUUACCAAAUUGGGCCCGUUAGACCAUUAACCCGAUUUCGGCCCAUUAAGCCCAAAUAUACCGAAGUGCAUGAAAUUACGCACUCUAUAAUCAUACCACUUGUGGUUACCAAAAUUAACAACCAAACCAUCUCACGAGCGCUCACACGCUUGCAAGUUCACAUAAUGCCAGCUUUUCGGCAUUUCGGCUUUAUGGCUUUUACCGAUCUAGUCUAUGAGUGGCUGUCGUUUACACACCUAAUUUGCUACAACUGCUAUCGAAAUCUCCCACGAUAUCCUACAAUCGUCACUAGACAUAUCAGAUCCAAAAUACAAUGGCAACCAUCAUAAACUUACUUACCAUAAUCGGCCAUCAAUACCUAUAACCCUUGAGAUCCUACCUUUGCCAAAACUAGAGACUAGAUCUAGAUCUAGUCAUUCCACUUGCCCAAGCCUUCGAUCAGUAGCCUCUAGAUCAUAUUAACACCAAAACAAAUCAAUUGUUACAACCCUUAGAACCUUAAGCUCCAAUCGACAGCCUCCCUAUGCCUUUAGGGAUUUUGGCUUUUCUAAAACCCAAAAUAAAGAAUAGAUUUGAGUACCUACCUCAGGUUCUUUCAACCAAAACGAUUCUACUUCAGUUUCUACUCAGAUCUGAUGCAGAUCCAGCCCUUAAACACUAGCAGAAAUCGAACCUUAGAGAUCUAAAGAUUCGACUAGACGUCCCUAAAAACAAUGGUGUUUUCGGCUUUUGGAACUGUGAAGAGGAAGAUGAUUUGGUAUGGUGGCUUUUUGCAGUGGUAUUGCCGAUAGGGAUUGAGGUUCAGAGGAUGUAAAAAUUGGCCAAAAGAGAUGAAUAAAAUAGGAGGAUUUUGACUAGAAGAAAUCGGCACAAGAAACAACUUUUGAGAUUUCGGCUUUUAUGGCAAUCGGCUAUAGAGGUUUAGAAAAGAAUGGGAAUGAAAGAGGAGAUGAGUAGAAUGGUAGGAAUGUUUCGGCCAGAGAAAAAAAGAAGGAGAAAAAUAAAAUAGAAGAAGAGAGGAGAAGAGAAGGAAGAAUUCAGCACUCAGGAGAUCUAACUCUGCGUUUUUCGGCUUUUUGCGACAAUGAGAAGAGAAUAGAAUAAAAGUGAAGGCUCUAGGUGGCAAACCCUAAUUCGGAAAAACAAAAAGAAAAUAAAGCUUGCCCUAACGGCCAUUUAGACCCACGGUCCAACCUUCCUAAAGCCCUAGCCGAAUUUCCACUUAAGCUCUAUCACAUGCCCGGCACAUGUACACAAAAAUAAAAGUAACAACACGCUUACCUUGUGACUUGAACUCUGGCUUCCCCUAAUCAUCCACACGUCACUCCCAAAACCCCUAAGUGGCGCCACAUGCCACUUUACCACAGAUCUUUUCGU
rnacentral:lncRNA from 1 species